AAAGGGGCCUCUGGUGACCGCCCCUACCUGGCAUCCCUCUAACCCAGGAGGAGCGUGGGGAAAGGGGCUGUGGGCCUCUCGGGGAGCGAGCUGCGGGUAGCGGCGCACUGGGUACAGGCGCGCGCUUGGCUGUCGCCUCUGCCGCUGUGUUUGGGAGGACUCGAACUGGCGCCAGGAAAUAUUAGGAAGCUGUGAUUUUCAAAGCUAAUUAUGAAAACAUUUAUCAUUGGAAUCAGUGGACAUGAGCCCCAGGUUAAAACACGCUUUCAAUAAAUGACUGAAUCGAGAAGUGCCUCCCUCCCGUGUGAUCUCCUCGAUGCUGCAAAACUAGAUCUAAAGAGGAGUAACUCAGUGCCCCUUCUCCUGGACUUCACAGUCCGGUCAGAAGAGACAAAUAACUGGCCUGUUGUGAUAAGCUACAGCAGACCUCCCAGCUGGCCCCCAGGUGGAGAGAGAUGGGGAAAAGGAGGCAUCGCAGAGGAAAUGUGAUUUCAUGUGUGACAAACAGUGGCAAAACAACACUGGCUAAGAAUUUGCAGAAACACCUCCCAAAUUGCAGUGUCAUAUCUCAGGAUGAUUUCUUCAAGAGUCUGAGAUAGAGACAGAUAAAAAUGGAUUUUUGCAGUACGAUGUGCUUGAAGCACUUAACAUGGAAAAAAUGAUGUCAGCCAUUUCCUGCUGGAUGGAAAGCGCAAGACACUCUGUGGUAUCAACAGACCAGGAAAGUGCUGAGGAAAUUCCCAUUUUAAUCAUCGAAGGUUUUCUUCUUUUUAAUUAUAAGCCCCUUGACACUAUAUGGAAUAGAAGCUAUUUCCUGACUAUUCCAUAUGAAGAAUGUAAAAGGAGGAGGAGUACAAGGGUCUAUCAGCCUCCAGACUCUCCGGGAUACUUUGAUGGCCAUGUGUGGCCCAUGUAUCUAAAGUACAGACAAGAAAUGCAGGACAUCACAUGGGAAGUUGUGUACCUGGAUGGAACAAAAUCUGAAGAGGACCUCUUUUUGCAAGUAUAUGAAGAUCUAAUACAAGAACUAGCAAAGCAAAAGUUUGCAAGUGACAGCAUAAAGACGGAACACAACAAAUCCUUCCUGAAGUGAAUUAGGAAACUCCAAGGAGUAAUUUAAGAACCUUCACCAAGAUACAAUGUAUACUGUGGUACAAUGACAGCCAUUGUUUCAUAUGUUUGAUUUUUAUUGCACAUGGUUUUCCCAACAUGUGGAACAAUAAAUAUCCAUGCCAAUGGACAGGACUGUACCUUAGCAAGUUGCUCCCUCUCCAGGGAGCGCAUAGAUACAGCAGAGCUCACAGUGAGUCAGAAAGUCUCCACUUUCUGAACAUAGCUCUAUAACAAUGAUUGUCAAACUUUUCUAACUGGAGCUCAGAGUAAGAAAUAAAGAUUACAUCACAAUCC
rnacentral:lncRNA from 1 species